CACAGGGACCCAGGGGACUGCAGUUGGAUUCUUAACCCACCGCACCACUGGAGGAACUCCAAUAUCUUUAUAUGUCUACCUUUCCUAUUGGUUUGGCUUCGCUGGUAGAACCCUGAUGGGUACACCAUGGGAGUGGCAGCACCCAAGGGAGGCCACAGUGGAACCUUUUUGUGGAAAUGGCAGUGCCUGUGUGACACUGUCUUGACUGUGGGUAUCAGACAGAAUCGCAAGAGGAGACCCCACUCCCUCUGCACAGGCAGUGGGUAUCAGUGGAAGCAGCCCCGCUGGAGGAAACAGCAGACGCCUCGAGAAGUCAGAGCUUGCUGGUGAGCACGCGUGCACAGGGCCAGGAGCUGCUCAGGAACAUCUGAGGGAGGCUCUGAGGCCGCUGGCGGUCCGUCCUCAUCAGCAGGUGUCAGCCUCCAGGCACAGAGCGGGAUAGAGAAUGAUGAGGAAUUAUCUGGAAGGCGGAGAAAUGCUGUCUGGCCCACCCAGAUUACAUUGGAAUACCGAACCUGGAAGCACUCAGGAAGAGUCCUAAAGAAUGAGAAGAACUUGUUGAAAGCUCUGGAGGGCAGGAUGGGCUCAACACUGAGGCUAGAACUGGAGCAUCUGGAAGAAAGCUGGUGGUGCCCCAGGUCCUGUUAUUCUAGGCAACAACCCAGAAGACCACCGUCACGACCCCAGCUUUGAUGACCAAGGCCCCCCAAAGAAAGAAGAAUGCAUGUUUGUCCCGAUCCUGAUGGCUAUCUGAAAACCUGUUUUUCUCCUUUUUACUAUAAAACUCCUCGCAAUUCUUCCCAAGGGGGUUGGGGGGGGGGAUAGUCUUUAAAAGGGCAUUAGCCUGCUGCGACUCUGCUUUGCCUGGCAAAGCAAUAAAGUUAUUUUUUUCUCCUUCAUCCAAAACUCUGUCUUCCCAUUUCUACUCGGCGACGGUGGACAGAGGCUGUUUCGGCAACAUGACCGGUUUCUUUUCACUCAGAAAAAUGUUUUCUAGGUUCAUCCACAUUGUAGUGUUUAUCAGUGCAUCAGUACAAGCUUUUUAAAGGGCCAGUGUGAGCCAAUCUGAUUUACGUUUUAGGAUCACUUUCACUGCUAUGGAGAGAAUGGACAGGAGAGAAGCUCUGGGGAGAGCGGGCACGUGGGUCGGGGGUGUCGCGAUGGGGACGGGGAGGGACGAUGGAGAUGUGGCAAGCUGGCUGUGGCAGAGUCCCCGCCGUGGCUCAGUGGCUAACGAUCCCGACUACGAUCCAUGAGGAUGCGAGUUAGAUCCCUGGCCUCGCUCAGUAGGUUAGGGAUCCUGCAUGGCUGUGGCUGUGGC